rnacentral:misc_RNA from 1 species
GUAGCGAUUAGUGAAAGGGGAAUAGAAUACACGAGAAUGGUGGGUUUGUGUAGUUAAUGCAGAGAGGCCAAUUGUCCACCAUGAACACUUGUCUCUAAAUCUUCCCAGUUUUUGAACUUGUUGAGAGAGAGAGAGAGAGUGUGAAGAGGUCGUAGAGAGAGAAAGUGAGUUCUCAGUUCCCGAUGCUCUUGCAAUGGGGAAAGAAUUGGAGCAAAAUCUGCCGCAACAGCAGAGUCGUGAGAGUGGAAAUAGAGGAGGAAGAGGGGGAGGUUCUUCGGGUCUUUUCUGUGAGAGAUGUUCGAUGGGAUUAUCAAUAAUCUCUAAGGAAUUCAGUUUUAGAUGUUUUUUCGCUUUGAUUCUCAGUUUGUCUCUUUUGGUCUCUGGGAUCUUCUGGAUCCUCCCUUUCCGUACAGCUAAAUUAGAUGCUUUUGAUGCCCAAGAUGCAAUUAAGCUUCGCGCCACAAUACAAGCAUACUUUAGACUGCAAAAGCCAGUUUCACAGCUUGUUCCACACAUUGGAAGAUUAGAAUAUGAUAUCAAUGAUGAAAUAGGUGUGCCAAAUGCAAAGGUGGCUAUCCUAUCCAUGCAUCAAUCAGGUGCAUCUAACUGGACUGAUGUGGUGUUUGGUGUUCUCUCUGACUCAAUAAAUGCUCAAAUAAAUCAAGUGUCCUUGAGUGUGCUGAGGUCUUCUUUAAUUGAGGUGUUCCUUCAGGAAUCCAAUCUGACUUUGACAAUCUCAAUUUUUGGGCAGCCCUCUAUGUUUGAGAUUUUGAAGUUUCCUGGGGGGAUCACUGUAAUCCCAGUGCCCUAUGCUUCCCUUUGGCAGAUGCCCCAGAUCCUCUUUAAUUUUACCCUCAAUAAUUCAUUAGCUGAAAUACUGGAUAAUCUCACAGAGUUAAGGGAUCAGUUGAAGUUUGGAUUACAACUGAGACCAUACGAGGUAUUACAUAUUUUACUUCUUGUGUCAGCAGUUCUAGUGUCUUUUGAAAAUUGAAAUAUGACUUUAGGUUUUAUUCUCUUAAUGUUUUAAUGAUUUGACAUUUACCAUGCAGGAUAUCAAUUCAUAUUCAAGUACAAUUUCUCAAUUCAACAAUUAUCAAUGAUGAAUCUUUAAUCAGUUGACUGAGGAAAAUGGAAAUUAUCGUAAACUACCUAGUCAAUGUUGGGUGGCCCUAGCGGGUUCUAAAAUACUCAGAACCUAGUGUAAACUGUUAAUUAUGGAUUUAAAUUCUGUCUCCCGUUUUUGUGCAGAAUAAUAGUAUUGUCACUAACACUGAUAAUUAGCCUUCAAGUAAGCUGCAUGAGUGCUAGCCAAUAAAUGGUAUAUGAUUUAUGCCUGUAGAAUAAGUUGAGUUUAAUACUGGCUGUCUAAUUUCCUUGUCCUUUUUUACCUUGUUAUGCAGAAUGUAGUUGUGCAAAUAACAAACACAGCUGGCUCCACAAUAAAUCCACCAGUCACUGUUCAGGCUUCUGUCGUAUCAGAUCUAGGGAGCCUUUUGCCACAAAGAUUGAAACAGUUAGCUCAAACAAUCACAGAUUCUCCUUCAAAGAAUCUUGGCCUGAAUAACUCAGUUUUUGGUAAAGUAAAGAGUGUUAUUUUAUCAUCAUAUUUAAAAGGUACACUUCAUGCAAACCCUCCAACUCCUUCACCUGCUCCAUCUCCAGAGCCCAGUGAUUAUGCUGAACCUCCAAUUUCCCCAUGUCCUACUUCUUCUCCAUCACCCCUUCCAGCGUCCUCUCCAUCAGAUGAUAGUCCUUCACAUGCAACAAGCCCAAAAAGUGGGCCACACCAUUCUUCACCUCCUGUAAAUUCUCCAGCACCUUCUGUGGUAACAGCUAAUCCUCGAGCUCGUCACCCUUCUGGACACCAUGGUUCUCCAAUAUCUCCAAGCUCAUCACCAUCUUAUUCUAACCGAAGUCCUUACUUACGUCCAGUGGAUCCCCCAUCACAACUGCCCACGGAUCACUCUCCUUUACCUCAAGUAUCCUAUGGUUCCACACCAACCAAAGGUCCAGUAUCUCAAUCACUUGCUCCAUCUCCAUCUGCACCAUCUCCAUCAUCCGUAUCAGCAAGUCCUUUCUACAGGGAGAUCUGGUGGUUGGGAUUUUCUGGACUCUUGAUCUUUCAACUUUUUUGUUGAUCACAUUUACAUUUCUUAAUCAUAGACAGUUUCUGAGGCAUAGUUAGAAGACUUAUGAUACCCAGUUUUGUUCUGGCGAGAAUGGUAGAAACACAUAUGGGAAGUUCACAAGUUAUCUUCAAAAAAUUGACAUAAAUGUAAAGGAAACCCAAGAUGAAUUGUAGGUCAAAGCCAAGAAGGUGGCAGGCCUUUCAUCUCACUUCUAAGUUCCUAAUGUCACAGGGAAACAUGAGUUUCUUAUAAAGGGAACAAUCCCUUACCAGUGAUCAAUCAAGAAGCAACUUUGUAUUGCAGAUUUCACGAUCCUUUUCCUCUAUGUCUCAAGUGUAAAAAAUGGAGGUUCUUUAGUAGCAUCUGCAAUACAAUGUUGAAGGAAAAAAUUGUAAACUUCUGGAGAA